GACGAACGCUGGCGGCGUGCUUAACACAUGCAAGUCGAACGGAAAGGCCCUGCUUUUGUGGGGUGAUCGAGUGGCGAACGGGGGAGUAACACGUGAGUAACCUACCCUUGACUUUGGGAUAACUUCAGGAAACUGGGGCUAAUACCGGAUAGGAGCUCCUGCUGCAUGGUGGGGGUUGGAAAGUUUCGGCGGUUGGGGAUGGACUCGCGGCUUAUCACCUUGUUGGUGGGGGAGUGGCUUGCCAAGUCUUUGACGGGUAGCCGGCCUGAGAGGGUGGCCGGCCACCUUGGGACUGCGAUACGGCCCAGACUCCUAUGGUAGGCAGCAGUGGGGAAUAUUGCACAAUGGGCGGAAGCCUGAUGCAGAAACGCCGCGUGCGGGAUGACGGCCUUCGGGUUGUAAACCGCUUUCGCCUGUUACGAAGCGUGAGUGACGGUAAUGGGUAAAGAAGCACCGGCUAACUACGUG
rnacentral:rRNA from 1 species